rnacentral:lncRNA from 10 species
UGGUAAUGGAAGAAGAGGUCAGAGAGGGAGAUUUGAAGAUGCUGCACUUCUGGCCUUGAAUAUGGAAUCACGAGAGAUGGGGCCUCAGUAUGUUGCCACGGCUGACCUUGAACUCCUGCACUCAAGGGAUUUUCCUGCCCUGGCCUCCCAAAGUAUUGGUAUUACAGGCAUGAGCCAUUGUGCCCACCGUCUCUGGUUCUUAACCUUCUACUUCCCUCUUCCAGUUUUAAAGAAUGCUUGUAAUUACAUGGGCUCUCCUAGAUACUCCAGGAUAAUCUUGUUUUAAGGUCAGCUGAUGAGCAACAUUAAUUUUAUCUGCACUCUUAAUUCCCCCUUCCUAUGUAAUUGUGCUGUGUAACAUAGGACAUGAGCAAUUGGUGGGGGUGGGGGUUAUUACUUUGGCCACCACAGUAUUUUAUGCCAGGUACUCAGCUAAGCACUGGUGAAUUAAGCAUGAAUAACACACACUCCCUAAUCUCCAUCCAUUCAUGGGAGGAGCACCUCACCUGCCAUGCUCCUGAGAAUCUGGGGAGUCAAAGAAGUCUUCCAUGAGGAGGUGAUGCCAAAGCGGACAAGUGACAGAGUCGAAGCUAGCUAGGAAGAGAGUAGAGGUUUAAGGGGAAGCGUAUUAUAAGCAGAGGAUAUCACCCACUUCAGAGACUCCCAGAGGAGAAAGAGUGUGUGUUCAAAGGGCAGAUGAGGCUCAGUUGGACUCCAUAGCAGAUGAAAUGGAGAGGGGCAAGCAAUGAGGCUGCCUUGCAAGGCAGGGCAGAGCAGGGGCUGUUGAAGGGUUUGGACUUAAUCCCUGAGGCAAGGAGAAGUGAUGUAAAUGGGGGAGUAACAUGAUGAGAUUAAUGGAUUAGAGACAUGGCUCAGGCUGCUGUAGAGAAGGCACCAGGGAGAGCAGAUGGCUCAAUGGGUGUGUAGGAGACCUCUCACUGAGUUUAGGGAGAGGUUUUUAAAACAGAAGAAGUUUGAGUAAUUUAAAUGAUGAUGGGAAGGAGCUAAAAGUAGGGGAUAGGUUAAAGAUACAGGAAAGUGGGAGGAAGAACUGACAAGUGAGGUUCCAGAGAGGGCAGGAGAAGAGGAGAUUCCCAUAGGGGGAUUAACACUUUCUUUUCUUUUUUCUUUCUAAGACAGGGUCUCACUCUGUCGUCCAGGCUGGAGUGCAGUGGCACAAUCUUGGCUCACUGUAGUGUAGGCUUCCCAGGCUCAAGGGAUUCUCCCACCCCAGACUCCCAAGUAGCUGGAACUACGGGUGUGCACCACCACCACACCUGGCUAAUGUUUCUUUUUUUGGUAGACACAGAGUCUCACUAUUUUGCGCUGAUUGGUCUCCAACUCCUGGCCUCAAGCGAUCCUCCUGCCUAGGCUUCCCAAAUUGCUGGGAUUACAGGCAUGAGCCAUAAUGCCUGGCCUCUGCUAGUUCUGUAUUCUCUAGAGUUGUCUUUACUUUGUGCUAGCGUGUCCCUCAUUGUGCUAAUCCUCUGUAAAAAUUAAUACCUUUUUUUCUUUUCGAGAUGGAGUUUCACUCUUGUUGCCCAGGCU